rnacentral:misc_RNA from 1 species
GAAAUGAGAAAUGCUGAAAGAUGUAUAUGGUAUGUAGUAUGAUAGAUUUGUGGUUUAGACCCACAUUUCUUUUGGAUAUAAAUCAUAGAUAAAAAAUAUGGGAUCAUUAGAAAGAAAAAAUGUUGCAGAAAACAAAUAUAUAAGAGAUCACUGAUAGCAUCAGAAUGCCCCUAAGAGUAAAAGGAGCAACACCUCAUGACCUUGAUCCAA